rnacentral:snoRNA from 1 species
AAACUAUGGUGAGGGGACCUUCUCAGUGAGUCUUUGUAUCUCUCCCAUGCAUCGUAAAGAGUUUCUAAGUCCAUCUAUACAAACGAAGAGAUAUCGUUACGUAAUUU